GUUUCAGCAGCCGCGGUAAUACGGAGGGUGCGAGCGUUGUCCGGAAUCACUGGGCGUAAAGGGCGCGUAGGCGGCCUGAUAAGUAGGGGGUGAAAUCUUGCGGCUUAACCGCAAGGCUGCCUUCUAAACUGUCAGGCUAGAGCACAGUAGAGGCAGGUGGAAUUCCCGGUGUAGCGGUGGAAUGCGUAGAGAUCGGGAAGAACAUCAGUGGCGAAGGCGGCCUGCUGGGCUGUUGCUGACGCUGAGGCGCGACAGCGUGGGGAGCAAACAGGAUUAGAAACCCGGGUAGUCC
rnacentral:rRNA from 1 species